GACGGUGGCGAUGGAGGCUCGAGGGGGAGGGCUGACAUUGGAGAGGAGGCGACGGUGGCACCCGGCCGGUGUGUGGCGGCGCACAAGGGGAGGCUGGUGGAGGGCGCUGGGGGUGCCGCGGUGCGCGGAGGCAAGGGGCAAGGACGACGUCGAUGAGGACGGCGCAGAUAAGGCGGGCCGGCGGCGGUGGUGAUGAUGAGAUGACGGCCAGGAGACGGAGGAGACGAGGCGGCUGUGAAAUCUUCUAAGUCUGGGAGGAGGAAGAAGGCGCGGAUAUUUAUACCCCCUUAGUCCCAGUUGGUAAUACUCAAUAUUUUUACAACUAAAAUCUUUAUAUUCAAUAUUUUGAACAUGCAAAAAUAUAUUAAAUUAUCAAAUAGUUAUUUUUACACUUUAUUGAUAAAAAACUCUUGUAAUAAAUAAUUUGAUCAUGAAAAAUGUAUCAAUUGUUUUAAACCUCAUAAUAAUUUUAAACUUGUUCUUGAUGGAAGUCUUGAUUUCCUCCCCCUUUGCAUUUCCCGCACAACCUCGUAA
rnacentral:lncRNA from 1 species